rnacentral:tRNA from 3 species
GCCAACAUACCGAAACGGUUAUAACGGCGUGGUCUUGAAAACCAUUGUGUCGGUUAAAAUCCGACAUGGGGGUUCAAAUCCCUCUGUUGGCG